rnacentral:rRNA from 1 species
GCAGACUCCGGGCCGGGGGGCGGGGAAAUACGGGGGCGUCAAGCGUGAUCGUGAUAUAUUGGUUUGAAAGGGGCCGUAGGCGGGCUUAUAAGUGAGGGGUGAAAGCCCAUCGCUCAACGAUGGAACUGCCAUUGAUACUGUAGGACUUGAAUGCUUAGGAAGUAACUAGAAUAUGUAGUGUAGCGGUGAAAUGCUUAGAUAUUACAUAGAAUACCAAUUGCGAAGGCAGGUUACGACUAAGUGAUUGACGCUGAUGGACGAAAGCGUGGGGAGCGAACAGGAUUAGAUACCCGGGUAGUC